rnacentral:rRNA from 1 species
CAAUAGCGUAUAUUUAUGUUGUUGCAGUUAAAAAGCUCGUAGUUGGAUUUCGGUUAAGAGCGACCGGUCCGCCGUUUGGUGUGCACUGGUUGGUUUUAACUUCCUGUAGAGGACGUGCUCUGGGUUUAACGACCUGGACUCGGAGUCUACGUGGUUACUUUGAAAAAAUUAGAGUGUUCAAAGCGGGCUUACGCUUGAAUAUUUCAGCAUGGAAUAACACUAUAGGACUCCUGUCCUAUUUCGUUGGUCUCGGGACGGGAGUAAUGAUUAAGAGGAACAGUUGGGGGCAUUCGUAUUUCAUUGUCAGAGGUGAAAUUCUUGGAUUUAUGAAAGACGAACUUCUGCGAAAGCAUUUGCCAAGGAUGUUUUCAUUAA